CAACAAGGCCUUGUUCGAUUUGUUCUGCCAGUUCAUGUGUCAACGAGCGCAAAUUGUGAAAGAUGGCUUGGAAAAAUUCAGUUCAGAGUUCAAAGCGCCACCUUGCAACAAACAGCGCCAUGGAAACAGCUGUGGAGUGUUUGCAUUGAUGACUGCCAAAUGUUUGGUCAUGAAAAAGCAUCCCACAAUGUUGCGACAGGCCCAUGAUUCAGUUAUCGAGACUAGUCGUG